rnacentral:rRNA from 1 species
AAGAAAUGGGCUACAUUUUCUUUUAAAGACCACACGAAUGGCAAAAAUGAAACCAUACCUGAAGGCGGAUUUGGCAGUAAGAGUGGAUAAUAAUGCCACCCUUAACUCCGGCCCUGGGGCGCGCACACACCGCCCGUCACCCUCAUCACCUAGUCUUAGUCUAAUUUUAUAAAACCACCAAAGACACCACAGAUGAGGAAAGUCGUAACAAGGUAAGCGCACUGGAAAGUGCUCUUGGAUUAC